rnacentral:rRNA from 1 species
UACGGGGGGGGCAAGCGUUGUUCGGAAUUACUGGGCGUAAAGGGCUCGUAGGCGGCCAACUAAGUCAGACGUGAAAUCCCUCGGCUUAACCGGGGAACUGCAUCUGAUACUGGAUGGCUUGAGUUCGGGAGAGGGAUGCGGAAUUCCAGGUGUAGCGGUGAAAUGCGUAGAUAUCUGGAGGAAUACCGGUGGCGAAGGCGGUUCUCUGGGACGGUACUGACGCUGAGACGCGAAAGCGUGGGGAGCAAACAGG